UUUACAACCCAGGCACAGUCUAUGAAACACCACACAGCAAUACUUCGAAACCUCGGUUUGCUUUUUGUUACGUUUUGGCUCUGACUCAACAGAGCUUUGUAAUCGUGUGUACUGUGGAGCUAUUAGCUAAUAAGCUAAUUAGGACCUUGGAGCUAUCGGUAGCUAAUUGAAUUACAAAGUGUUUUUGCCCAGGGUAUAUGAAAUAAAAUGUUACCAUGAGGUAUCUUGUGCAAAAAAUAGGGCAUGUUCAUACAGUUGAAGACAGAAGUUUACAUACACUGUACAAGAUCACUUUUUUUUUUUUUUUUUGCCACGUUAUCUGAAGUCAACUCAGACUAAGCCUCUUGUUUUCGGUCAUUCAAGGUCACCAAAAUUAGUUAAUUUUGUUGAAUGCCACAAUAAUGAGAGAAUUUCUUUGAAAGUUUAAUAUUUUCUUCAAGGUCAAAUGUUUACAUAAAUUUCCAGAGUAUCAAGUAGCACUUCCUUUGAAGUGCAUGACUUGGGUCAAACGUUUUGAGUAACCUUCCACGGGCGUCUGACUGUACUCUGUUGGAAUUGUGGCCCAUUCCUCCUGACAGAACUGAUGUAACUAAGUCGGGUUUGUCGGUUGCCUUGCUCACAUACACCUUUUCAGCUCUGCCCACAAAUUUUCAAUGAGAUUCAGAUCAGCGCUUUGUGGUGGCCUCUCAAAGACAUUGACUUUAUCCUCAAACCGCUUUUCAACCAUGUUGGGAGUAUGCUUUGGGGUUAUUGUCCAUUUGGAAGACCCAUUGGCACCCAAGUUUUAGCUUCCUCGCUGAUCUCUUGAGAUGUUGCCUUUAUAUUUUCAUGUAAUGAUGCAGUCUAUUUUAUGAAGAGCUCCAGUCCCUGCUGUAGGAAAACAGCCCCACAACAUGAUGCUGCCUCCUCUAUGCUUUGCAGCUGUAUGGAGUUUUCAGGUCUACACGCUUUCCCCAUUUUCCUACAGAUGUAAUGUUUGUCAUUCCGGCCAAAUACCUCUAUUUUCAUCAGACCACAGAACAUGUCUCCAGAAAGUAAGGUCUUAAUCUCUUUUUGCAAUUUGCAAUCUGUCAUUUUUGUUUCUUUCAGAGUAAGGCCUUCAAUCUUGGUGUGUAGCCUUUUAGCCCAAGUAGGUGCAGGAAUUUUGACAAACAAUAAUGACAAUUUCUUACCAGCUUCAUCCAGCAUCCUCACAAGGGCAUUAGAGUUUGUUCUGGAGUUGAUUUGGACAUUUUGGACAAAAACACAUUCAUCUCUGGGACACAAAGCCCAUGCCCUUCCUGAGUGGUGUGAUGACUGGACAUUCCCUUGACGGUUCUGCUUGUGUAUAAUUGUUUGAACAGAUGAACGUGGCACCCUCAAGCAUCUGGAAAUUGCACCCAAGGAUGAUUCUGACUUGUGGAGCUCCACGAGUCUCUCUCUGGUUACCUGGGCAAUUUCUUUUGAUUUUCCCACGAUUUCAAAGAAGGAAGCAGUGUUUGAUAGUAUGGCCUCAAAUAAAUCCCCAGGUGUGGCGUUAAUUAACUCAGUUAACCUAUAAGAAGCUACCAAAGCCAUGACCUCAUCAUCAUCUUCCUCCUAUUCUUUGAAGGCAUAGUACAUUUUGUGUAUGGAAACUUUUGACGUAGAAGAAAAUAACAUGGAAUUUUCUUCAAAUGUACAUUGUGUUUUGUUUUUUAAGAAUAUGGCUACAGAAAAAUGACAUACCCUGGAAAAACUCCAAUUCUCAACAAAAUAUUUUAUUUCUUGUCAAAAGUAAUUAAAAUCAGACAUCACCUAAAGAAUUUCUAAAAAAAAAAAAAAAAAAGAUUUGAAAAAUGCCAGUGUAGUAUUAAAAAAACGGUCAAAGAUAGCUGGGACGUGCUACAGCACUCCUGUGAACUUAGUGAGGAUAAGGGGCAAAUGGAUUGAUUGUUCAACACCUUCUUGCCCUGGCAAACUUUUUGUCUACUUAUUUCAUGUAAAAGUUUGUAUGAAACAAGUGAAAUUUGUCUAAAAGGAAGGUAAUGAGUAUUGUUUUUUGUAACAUUUUGAGUAUUUGCAGUGUGGGUGUUUAUUUUCAGUUUAAAAAAAAACUGGCAGUAUCAUACUGCAUUCAUUCAUUCAUUGCAAAUACUACAUGUGCUGAAUCUAGUUAAAAGCUAGUUUACGACAGGACACCUUAUAAAACACUGUUUGCACAAGUCUGCUUUUCAAAAGAUGGACAUACGGUAUUUUUUAAAAAGAACUCAGCCAGGUGCAGGUGAGUGAUUUAAAAAAAACAUUGCCUGAUUAUAUUUUCUUUUUUUGUGUAGUUGUAAUAUUGUAUAUACUACAUUUCCAACAGUGUUGUCUAUUACUUAAAUCAAAAGGUGACCUUGUAAACAACCUCUUUCUUCUUUAAUAUAGCUAAAGCAACAUGUUUUUAAUAUUCCUUUUGUCGAAGAUGAAAUACUCAGUAUUCAUGGUUACAAAACGCUUCUACUUUUCUGACAGUAAACCAGACUUUUAUGAUGUGCUGAAUUUAUAGAUUAACAGAUAUAAAAUGCGUUUACUGUUGGACUACAUUUUGAUAUUACUUCAAAAAAUGCAACUGUUUUUUUUUUGUGUGUUCUUGUGUACCUAUAGACCAUAUUCAAUGGAAAAUGUUUAUAACAAAAAAUCUUUUAAAUAAUACGUUUUAGAGCUGUAAUUCCAAUUCCCUGAUUUCAUGAAACCACAAUAUUUUUCCUCACAGUUAUAAUAUCGCCUGAAUUUGAUACCGCCCCUUCAUAAUUUAGAAAUUUCACAUGACAUUCUCUUUUCUUUGGCUUUUUUGGUGACACAUCACCUGAAGUAUUUUUGCUAACUGUUUCUCAAAUUUAACGUCAAUCCCUCAUUUGUCUUCAUUAGGAUCAGGGAAGAGUCAGAAAUGAUCCCUGCUGAUUUUGGAGGAGAGGCGGGGAAUACCCUGGAGUGGUCACCUUCGAUUGCAGGACACAUAGAAAAACGAGAAUUCCCACACUUAUAUUCACACUAACAGACAAUCUGGAGUCCUGUGACCCUAUUAUGCAUUUUUUCAGAAUAUUGAAGGAGUACCCAGAGAAAACCUACGCAAGCACGUAAGACCACACAAACUCCACACAGCAGUGCCCGAGCUGAUAUUCGAACCCUUGUGAGAGAAAAUCAAGUGGCGGCCUACAAUUAACAACAGGGAACAGAUAAAUGCUGUGUGCGCAUGUCAAGCAGUGCAAAAAAAGGUACGGCAGGUGGAUCAAGAUCGCAAGCAGAUAAUGACCUCAGCUUCCAUCUGUUGGGCACCGUGGGGCGGAGACACCUUCAACCUGCCACCGGUCGCUUGCCACCACAAUCUGUCGCUCCCCAUCGUCCUGGUGACAUCUGCUUUUGGGUGACUGAGAGAUGAAUGCAUGCACCAUCCUGCACUGGGCUUAGAACAUACGUCACGCAGGCCAAUAGGCGCACACACAAACACACACGCCAUCACUGGAGCACAGAUGGCCACGGGCACACAACUGUGGAGAUUACAAUCUAAGCAUACUCCGUUCCCUCUAACCACUCAAUAACAUGGACAUGAUUUCACUACAGAUUUGUUGCAUUGUGUUUUUUUUUUUAUAUUCCUCAAAAGUGGGCCUCGAGAAAUGUUUCAUUGUUGUGACUCAUGUUUCCAACACACUCAAAAUCUUUUGAUAAUAAAUGACAUGACAGACUCAAUGACCUGCUUAAAGGAGGACGCACAAAUUGUGGUUAUGGCUUCACAUCCAAAUGCCCAUUUGUUUGUGUUUAUGCCACAGGGGAAUUAAGUGUUAUUGCUGACUAGUACUCUGUAUCUAUGGCGAUAUCGUUUUGCUUGACGAGAGUCCCCAGCCACAGCUGUCACAGUUAUUUAGUGGCUCUGCGGUAACCUUGGAAACACCCUCUCCACUUCGACACACACACACACACACACAUGCAUGUACACCGGAGUGUUUGCACAAAGUGAAAUCCUGAUAAACAGGUGACAUGCAGGCAAUGUGUCGAAUUCACACCAAGUGACGUGACAAAAGUAACAUUAUUUGUCAGAAAAGGACAUCAGGGGAGAACUAGAGGAAAUGGAAAGUGGGUGGGUGCCACUAACAGGAACACUGUCGCAGAGGACAGAAAAAAAUAAAAGAGAGGAAUUCAGGUCAGCAUUGGGGGAUUAUGCAUGCCAGACUGGGCAUUUUGGUUCCACCUCUGGUCUGGAUAGACUGCUGGGUGAGGGAAGGGCAAGUGGAUGACUGAUGGCUGAAGAGAGGGGCGGCGAGCAGCGCAAAAGAGCAACUAAGUGAGAAGACGGUCAAUUAGAAUCGACUUUCAUCAUUCCUCAGCGGGACCGGGCGAGUGAACACAAGGCAGUUGAUUUAGCUGUGUCCACAUGGAUUGAGCUCCCCUUUGAAAAAUCACAGUCACAUGAUAUAAACUGCAUGUGGAAGCCACAAGUGGCGCUAUAACUCCUUAAUUUCAGCCAAGAAAAAUAAUAUUUGUUUGUUUAAUAUCUAUCUAUUGUUAUAGAGACAAACUAUAUUUCACACUCAGAUGCUCAACAAUGGCCAAUUUGACGAGUCCUGAAUAAACCUAACAUGCAUGUUUUUUUUUCAAUGUGGGAGAAAGCACAACUACCUGCAGAAAAUGCGGGAGAACAAGAAAAUGGAAAUGUAAAUUUAACACAAGCUGCCGAGAGCCAAGAUUUGAACCCAGAACUUCUCAAUUGUGAGGCAGACACACUAACCACUAUUCCAAAUAUAUAUAUAUUUUUUGUGGCUGUACUGUGACCAGAUAUUGCCUUUCCCUUGACAUUUUUUUCAAUAUCAUUCAUUACAUCAGUCGGUAUACUUUUUUCGAUGUGCUGUGACUCACAGUUCUCUUGUAACCCGAGGUUCU